AUCAGCAGAAAGAGGUGGGAAAAGGAUUGUAUGCAGAAAAGUGUGUGUGCAGUAUCUCAUACUGGAGGUGUGCAGCUGUGGGGAGUAUCUGAAGCUUCUCUGUGAAUGUUAUGGUGUUCUUUCACUAUGUCAGCAGAGUCUGGUGCCCAUAUACACAAUACAAGGCCUUGAACAGAGUCUGCCACAGCUGGGCAUCACAUAAAGUGCUGCUAAAUUGUGAAGAAAACCCACAUUGGCUAUGUAUCCUUUACUUUCCAGAGCACCUUCUGGAAAAUCUGUCCCAGGGUGUUUCCCUGCCUUCAGCUCAAGACAGCUGGGAUAGGCUCCAGGACUUCCUGUGACCCUACAUAGGACAAGCGGCUUUAGAAGAUUGAUGAAUGGAUGGAUGGACUACUGACAUUUACUCAAAUUAGCGAAUAAAUAUGACAAGGUUUUCUACUUUAGGAUUGGUACAUGAUGACGUAUUGUAAAAAUAACAAAUAAUCAUAAAUAAUAUUUACUUAUAAGCUAAGCAUUCAUUUGACAUUUGAAUUAAAAACACAUGCAGUAUUUACUUAAUAUUUUCAAGUUCAUGCUUAAACUAUUUUAUUCAAUGUAGAAAGUACUUAAUCUUUUCUGUUAUAUUUACUUCACCACAAAAUCAUUUUUUCAGUGCAGUGCAUAAUCAUGUAUUAAGUACUAAGUAUUAAGUUAAUACUCAGUUCUUUUGUAAUUGUGUGUUUCUUCAACUUUGGGCACUUUUG